CAAAUAGAACUGCUCAGGACACAGAUGGCCAGAGACGAGGCCACUCACAAACAAGAGAUGGAAAGGCUACAAAAACAAGAAGCAGCCAAAGAUUGCAGCCUUCCAAAGAGAGAGGGAGAAACA